UGGGUAACCUGCCUCAAAGAGAGGAAUAGCCUCCCGAAAGGGAGAUUAACACCGCAUAAUAUGUUUAAGUCGCAUGACUUUAACAUCAAAGGAUUUUCUUCGGAAAUUCCACUUUGAGAUGGACCCGCGGCGCAUUAGCUAGUUAGUGAGGUAACGGCUCACCAAGGCAACGAUGCGUAGCCGACCUGAGAGGGUGAUCGGCCACAUUGGAGCUGAGACACGGUCCAGAUCCUACGGGG
rnacentral:rRNA from 1 species